CAUUUAUAUCAAGAAAUAUCUGAAAGAUACAGGAGAAAAAGGGAAUUGUCCAUUUUUUUUCAUUUUUUUCAAUUUUUGAAUUGAUUUUGUUUAGCUAUUAGUGAUUUAAUGUAUAAUCCUAGGUAGGAUAAUAUUAGGUAGUAAAUGACCUGAUGUUAUGCCGUCUGUUUAACCGAGUUACGAAAAACAUACGUAUUCUGAAAGUAUAUUGUUAUCAAAAAUAGU